rnacentral:rRNA from 1 species
AACGAACGCUGGCGGCAUGCCUAACACAUGCAAGUCGAACGAGACCUUCGGGUCUAGUGGCGCACGGGUGCGUAACGCGUGGGAACCUGCCCUUAGGUUCGGAAUAACUCCCCGAAAGGGGUGCUAAUACCGGAUAAAGUCUUCGGACCAAAGAUUUAUCGCCUUUGGAUGGGCCCGCGUUGGAUUAGCUAGUUGGUAGGGUAAAAGCCUACCAAGGCGACGAUCCGUAGCUGGUCUGAGAGGAUGAUCAGCCACACUGGGACUGAGACACGGCCCAGACUCCUACGGGAGGCAGCAGUGGGGAAUAUUGGACAAUGGGCGAAAGCCUGAUCCAGCAAUGCCGCGUGAGUGAUGAAGGCCUUAGGGUUGUAAAGCUCUUUUACCCGGGAUGAUAAUGACAGUACCGGGAGAAUAAGCUCCGGCUAACUCCGUG